UACGUAGGGGGCAAGCGUUGUCCGGAAUUAUUGGGCGUAAAGCGCGUGUAGGCGGCUUGAUACGUCCGCUGUGAAAUCUCGAGGCUCAACUUCGAGCUGUCGGUGGAAACUGUCUGGCUAGAGUCCGGAAGAGGAGAAUGGAAUUCCUGGUGUAGCGGUGAAAUGCGCAGAUAUCAGGAAGAACACCCGUGGCGAAGGCGGUUCUCUGGGACGGUACUGACGCUGAGACGCGAAAGCGUGGGGAGCGAACAGG
rnacentral:rRNA from 1 species